rnacentral:rRNA from 1 species
AUGGCAUAUUAUUCAGAUUGUCUAGGAGAUGCAAGGAACACUACAAACAGCACAGAAACUAUUAAAGAACUGAUAAGUAAGAUUUCCCAUCGAUUAGAUGAUUUAGCUCGGCAGCGAGAAGUAGUUUUUGAGGAUAGGCCUAGCUCUUAUGAUCCUUAUUCUAGAGGACAUCUUUAUGUUGCUCCUACAUGCCAUAUUUGUGGAUUUCAGGGCCAUUCACCCGCUGAAUGUCAGCGUGGUUACUCUCACUCUCCCAAUUGUUAUGGCAUGAGCUUCGCCCCACAGCCUAGCUCAUACCAAAACAAUUACUCAUAUGGGUGGCCUGAGAACCAGAAUAUGUCAUAUAGGAGCAACAACCCUGAGAUCUCACUGUUUGCUUCUAGUAAUCAUAUGCAGGGAUUUAGGUACAAUGAGGAGAGCCACAACUAUGCUCCACGACAGAUUUAUUCAACUCCUACUCAUAUACCUCAACACCAGGAGAUGUUGCCAAUGGAGUUAAAUGGUCCUCCAUUUGGUCAACCAACAACUCCAGCAACCGUCGAGCAAUCUCAUGUGCAAGUGCCCACACAAGAUGAAUUUGAUGAUAUAGACAAGAUCACAUUGCUUAGUCUCGAGUUCACUUGGAUUGACGAGGAUGAUCCUAUUAGGAAUGUUAUACUAGAGGGAAUGAAGAAGAUCAAGAGUGGAAAAGAGCCAGUGGAAGAAGUAAGGAAGAUUGAGAAGAACAUCAAGGCCGGCAGCACUAUUUCUUCACAGCUUGAGCUGAGUGUUUCUGGGAUUCCCCUUGAUACAUGUGAGGUUCCAACACCUUCAUAUCCAUCCAAGGAAGAUAGCAAGUGCCUUGAGGAAGAGAUAUUUCAGAUUGAAGAAGAUGAACUAGAAGACAAGGAACAAGAUGACCAAGAGCUUGAAUGCCCAAGUGAUCAAGACGAAGAUUUCAAGAAGUGUUUGCUUGGAUAUGAUGAUACAUAUACUGCUGGUGGCAUUGCUCAUAUUAAUGAUGAUCACACUUAUUUUCCUCAUGCCAAACCUAUGCUUAAUGAUAAAUAUCAUCCUCAUGUUAGUAUUGAGCUUGCUGAUUCCUAUCAUACUCGUCAUGUUCUUUAUAGCUAUGCUCAUGUAAUUGGGUUCUCUAUUGAUGAUUUAGAGGGCAUUACCCCUUUCACUUGUAUGGUCUCUUUUGUCGAGUGCUCUUUCAGGUUUUUGCUACUACACCGUUCACUACAUGCUGACCAGGUUCGAGGUGACAUUCCUUGGGACCCCGGUGGAUCCUGA